UACGUAGGGGGCAAGCGUUGUCCGGAAUUAUUGGGCGUAAAGAGCGUGUAGGCGGUCCGGCAAGUCGGCUGUGAAAGUCCAGGGCUCAACCCUGGGAUGCCGGUCGAUACUGCCGGACUAGAGUUCGGAAGAGGCGAGUGGAAUUCCCGGUGUAGCGGUGAAAUGCGCAGAUAUCGGGAGGAACACCUAUGGCGAAGGCAGCUCGCUGGGACGUUACUGCCGCUGAGACGCGAAAGCGUGGGGAGCAAACAGG
rnacentral:rRNA from 1 species